AGUUAUUUCAUUAUUCCCCCUCCUCUAGAGACAAUAGGUGUAGGAAUACACAUUACUAUCAAAGCAAGAUCCUAACAUUACAAAACCUACCAGAAGGUAAUGUACCUGUGUCGCAGCUGGUGCAGUGUUCAGGACCCCCGUCAGUGCACUCCUUGCAGGUGUGGUGACAGAGAUGGCACUGCCUCUCCAUGGCAUAACGUCCCGUCGGGCAGCGGAUUACACAGCUUCCAUCAUCGAAGAAC